UUUUUUUUGGUAAAUAGAUAAAUUACUAUCUGUCUUUUUUUUCUUUUUUGGUGAAAGUGGAGAUGAUCUUCCAUUAUAAUUACACUGAUUAUCUACCGAGUUUCAGAGGUAUAAAUUUCUGAGUAUCAAAAAAAGAAGAAAUUUGCAGCUUAAAAGCGUGAAAAUGGUACGAUCUUUAUAAGAACCAUGCGGCAUGGACUUCCAAGAAUACCAGCUAUUCAUUUGGCUUAAAAGUUGUUUUAUUCUAAAUUUGUUUUGUUUCUUCGUCUUUUGGUUUAUCUUGAUUAUUGCAACAUUUGGUUUCUUCUGUGAUUUUCUAAUAAGUAUUAAAUUUAUAUUGUUUUCUUCAGUGCUCGUUCACCCGGAGAAGCUUCUCCUGCACAACAAGAUGCUAUUCAACUAAUAAAUCGUCUAUCUACUGGCAGUAACAAUCAGGGACAGUGGGAAAAAAAAGAGAUAAGGUUUGGGUGAUUAGCUCCAGCCAAAGGUUUAAACAAGCCUAAAUUCCAGCCUUGAUUUAAACAGGAAAACAAACGACAAGCUUCUUUGCUUAGUCUUUCUCUUUCCUGAUUUGGCAGCUAAUGCAUAUUUAUUCUGAUUUGCAAAGAAAAUAGAAGUUUGACUGAUCAUAUAGUGAUUAUAAUGUGGUUUAUCCUUACCAUUCGCAAAAAAAUUAGUGAUCAUGAUGUGGUUUGUAAAAAUGUGAUGUGAACAUUCUGAACAUUCUUCAGUACAUGGAGAAUUUCCUUACCCCUGUUAAUUGCCAGUCAAUAUUUUGGAUUUUCUUUGCUCCCUGAACUUAGCUUAGCCAACAUUGUACUGGAGCUAGCAUUGCUUUUGUUUUUUUUAACUACUUUGCAUCUUCGCCUUUCAAUGAUAAUGCUCUUACUUCAAAAAAAAAAAAAACAAAAAAAAACUUCGAUCAGUAUGUAGGAAUGGAAAUGCUGUCAUUUGGAGAAUGUAAAUUUAGGUGAAACAGCUGAUGCUACUUUUUGGUUGCGCAAAGAGGCUUGUAAAGAUAUUGCCAAUAUCUUGUCAGGAUCAACAGUGCCAUGUCAGCGCCGAAGUCAAUGUUGCUAUGUCACAGAGGUGGGUUAAAACAAUGUGGUUUAACUUUUCUCUGCUGGAUCCGUAUAAUAGUAUUGCAAACAUUUAUCUAAAUUAUUCUUGUUUGACUGAAGAUGUGUGGCAAGACAUCUAUCUAACAUUGUUUAGAUUUUAAUUGCCGACAUUAAUUUGAA